rnacentral:rRNA from 1 species
AAUGAACGCUGGCGGCAUGCCUUACACAUGCAAGUCGAACGGCAGCAUGACCUAGCUUGCUAGGUUGAUGGCGAGUGGCGAACGGGUGAGUAAUGCAUCGGAACGUGCCUUUUAGUGGGGGAUAACGUAGCGAAAGUUACGCUAAUACCGCAUAUUCUCUGAGGAGGAAAGCAGGGGACCUUCGGGCCUUGCGCUAGAAGAGCGGCCGAUGUCGGAUUAGCGAGUUGGUGAGGUAAAGGCUCACCAAGGCAACGAUCCGUAGCGGGUCUGAGAGGAUGAUCCGCCACACUGGGACUGAGACACGGCCCAGACUCCUACGGGAGGCAGCAGUGGGGAAUGUUGGACAAUGGGCGCAAGCCUGAUCCAGCCAUGCCGCGUGAGUGAAGAAGGCCUUCGGGUUGUAAAGCUCUUUCGGCUGGGAAGAAAUCGCACCCUCUAAUACAGGGUGUGGAUGACGGUACCAGCAUAAGAAGCACCGGCUAACUACGUG